rnacentral:rRNA from 1 species
UGGUAGUGGGGGAUAACGUUCGGAAACGGACGCUAAUACCGCAUACGUCCUACGGGAGAAAGCAGGGGACCUUCGGGCCUUGCGCUAUCAGAUGAGCCUAGGUCGGAUUAGCUAGUUGGUGAGGUAAUGGCUCACCAAGGCGACGAUCCGUAACUGGUCUGAGAGGAUGAUCAGUCACACUGGAACUGAGACACGGUCCAGACUCCUACGGGAGGCAGCAGUGGGGAAUAUUGGACAAUGGGCGAAAGCCUGAUCCAGCCAUGCCGCGUGUGUGAAGAAGGUCUUCGGAUUGUAAAGCACUUUAAGUUGGGAGGAAGGGCAGUUACCUAAUACGUGAUUGUUUUGACGUUACCGACAGAAUAAGCACCGGCUAACUCUGUGCCAGCAGCCGCGGUAAUACAGAGGGUGCAAGCG